UACAGAGGUCUCAAGCGUUGUUCGGAUUCAUUGGGCGUAAAGGGUGUGUAGGUGGCGCGCUAAGUCGGGUGUGAAAUUUCGGAGCUUAACUCCGAAACUGCAUUCGAUACUGGCGUGCUUGAGGACUGGAGAGGAGACUGGAAUUUACGGUGUAGCGGUGAAAUGCGUAGAUAUCGUAAGGAAGACCAGUGGCGAAGGCGGGUCUCUGGACAGUUCCUGACACUGAGGCACGAAGGCCAGGGGAGCAAACGGG
rnacentral:rRNA from 1 species